GCUGGCUUUAGUUCAUGAGCUCCCAGGGCUGUUUUAUGCCCACAAGGAAACAUUUAGGACCACUAGAAAAAUAUUUAUCCAUAAAGAUCAACACCAUCAAAUAUCCUCCCCAGCACACACGACCUGCCUACACAGCCCCAGCCCACACCUCCCGUCACCAUCCUGACUACUGGGACAUCCCUGGGGACAGGAGCGGGGAAGAUCUGAGAUUACACAUUAGCCAGGCCAGCCGCACCAAGGUCCCUGGUAAUAGGAAGGUUACAAGACAGCAGUCGGUCAUGCUGUUAAUGUGUAACGCUCGUGCCACCUUUACCUCGCUUUCCGCUCGCCUGCUUUGUGGUGUCAGCAUCUGCCAGAAGCUGCAGGGAGCCCAAGGAGGGGCUUCUCAACCUGCUGAAGUUCAUCUUCGCCAGCACGCUCGGAGACCCUUCACGGGCAAGUCCUGGUCUUGUGGCACCUGCUGGUGCUGGUGUAAACCUUGGGGCCUCCUCUUCCCCCUUGUUCCUGGUUGCAGACCCUCCCACCCCUCUCCACCAGCCAGCAUCCCACAUAUGUGUGUGUGCCUAGUCUGUUUCCUCUGUUCUAUUUCUGUCCUAUUCCACUCCACGAAGCUUUGAAAGUCCAUUGACCGCUGGAUUAGGCUGAGAGCUCAAACACACACAGCCCCACCAGCUUUGUGAAAAUGGGUGGAUGGCCAGGGCUGAGCUACCAAAAUCUGGUGGAAAUAUCUUUUUCUGGUGGCAAGGUCAUGCCAGGGACUUGCUGCUGCGGCCGGCAGGGCCAGUGCUGGCGCUCAGCUUGAAGGCGCAGGGCUGCAGGGCCUGGCUUUGUCGGGCAGCGUCCCACUGGCGCGAGCUACGCUGCUUUAUCGGGGGCACAGCUCAGCCUGCCUUAUCACUGGGUUUGCAUCUGGUUUCCAUGGAAACUAAAGAAAACAGGCAGCAAGCCCCCUCCAAAAACAACUUUGAACAGCCCUUCCAGUAUCAUACUGUCACUUCGGAUGUGUCACGUUUUUCCCAGAAAGUGUGUGCAAGUAUGAACAGACUGGUACCUACUUGUCCUGACAGGCCCGCCGAGAGCUGGAUCCUUCUAAAGCAUCUUCCACGGCAAUUCUUAGCCAAACAUCACAAGUGCAAAUGGCAUACAAAAACCUGGGUGCACACAGAAAAAAAAAAUGAGAUUAGCUACAGAGAGAAGGAAAUGGAUGGAUGGGCUGUUAAGAGGAGAGAAGAAACCAGUUCCAGUGGGAAAUCCAUGAACCAGAGCCAAGGAGCCAUCCUGGGGAGCAGGCCAGAUUGCGCUGUGUGUUCAAACCAGCAGUGACGACCCAUGGCCAUCUGUUCAUCACAGCAACAAUUCCUGGUGGCCCUACAAACAAAUCAAUAUUCGAAAAGUCUCCUCACCUGUGAAACACACCACGCAAUAAGCCCCCCAGGCAGGUUUUACUCACCAAUAAAGACUCAAAUCACAUGGUUAAGUGCA
rnacentral:lncRNA from 1 species